UACAGAGGGUGCAAACGUUGUUCGGAAUCACUGGGCAUAAAGCGUAUGUAGGCGGCUCCGUAAGUGUCGGGUGAAAUCCCACGGCCUACCCGUGGAACUGUUCGGCAUACUGCGGAGCUAGAGGAUGGUAGAGGAGAGCGGAACUCUUGGCGGAGCGGUGAAAUGCGUAGAUAUCAAGAGGAACACCGGUGGCGAAGGCGGCUCUCUGGUCCAUUACUGACGCUGAGGUACGAAAGCUAGGGGAGCAAACGGG
rnacentral:rRNA from 1 species